UACAGGGGGGGCAAGCGUUGUUCGGAAUUACUGGGCGUAAAGGGCGCGUAGGCGGCCAUGCGUGUCUUCCGUGAAAUCCCUCGGCUUAACUGAGGACGUGCGGAAAAAACUGCAAGGCUCGAGUCCGGGAGAGGGGGGUGGAAUUCCCAGUGUAGCGGUGAAAUGCGUAGAUAUUGGGAGGAACACCGGUGGCGAAGGCGGCCCCCUGGACCGGUACUGACGCUGAGGCGCGAAAGCGUGGGUAGCAAACGGG
rnacentral:rRNA from 1 species